AAGUUAUAUGUUAUAAGAACUAAGUAUUAUUUACAGUAAUGUUAUAUUUGUGCAGUUCAAUUUAACUUA
rnacentral:tRNA from 1 species